rnacentral:rRNA from 1 species
GACGAACGCUGGCGGCGUGCCUAAUACAUGCAAGUCGAACGCACUCUCGUUUAGAUUGAAGGAGCUUGCUCCUGAUUGAUAAACAUUUGAGUGAGUGGCGGACGGGUGAGUAACACGUGGGUAACCUGCCCUAAAGUGGGGGAUAACAUUUGGAAACAGAUGCUAAUACCGCAUAAAACCUAAACACCGCAUGGUGUAGGGUUGAAAGAUGGUUUCGGCUAUCACUUUAGGAUGGACCCGCGGUGCAUUAGUUAGUUGGUGAGGUAAAGGCUCACCAAGACCGUGAUGCAUAGCCGACCUGAGAGGGUAAUCGGCCACACUGGGACUGAGACACGGCCCAGACUCCUACGGGAGGCAGCAGUAGGGAAUCUUCCACAAUGGACGAAAGUCUGAUGGAGCAACGCCGCGUGAGUGAAGAAGGUUUUCGGAUCGUAAAACUCUGUUGUUGGAGAAGAAUGUAUCUGAUAGUAACUGAUCAGGUAGUGACGGUAUCC